UACGAAGGGGGCUAGCGUUACUCGGAUUGACUGGGCGUAAAGGGCGCGUAGGCGGUCUGUACAGUCAGACGUGAAAUUCCUGGGCUCAACCUGGGGGCUGCGUUUGAUACGUGCAGACUUGAGUUCGGAAGAGGGUCGUGGAAUUCCCAGUGUAGAGGUGAAAUUCGUAGAUAUUGGGAAGAACACCGGUGGCGAAGGCGGUCUGCUGGGCCGUUGCUGACGCUGAUGCGCGACAGCGUGGGGAGCAAACAGG
rnacentral:rRNA from 1 species